rnacentral:tRNA from 1 species
GCGGGAAUAGCUCAGUUGGUAGAGCACAACCUUGCCAAGGUUGAGGUCGCGAGUUCGAAUCUCGUUUCCCGCUCAA